CAUCCUCCAAGGCUAAAUACUCCUGACUGACCGAUAGUGAACCAGUACCGUGAGGGAAAGGCGAAAAGAACCCCGGCGAGGGGAGUGAAACAGAACCUGAAACCGUGUACGUACAAGCAGUGGGAGCAUGAGUUUACUCAUGUGACUGCGUACCUUUUGUAUAAUGGGUCAGCGACUUAUAUUCUGUAGCAAGGUUAACCGUAUAGGGGAGCCGCAGGGAAACCGAGUCUUAACCGGGCGUUAAGUUGCAGGGUAUAGACCCGAAACCCGGUGAUCUAGCCAUGGGCAGGUUGAAGGUUGGGUAACACUAACUGGAGGACCGAACCGACUAAUGUUGAAAAAUUAGCGGAUGACCUGUGGCUGGGGGUGAAAGGCCAAUCAAACCGGGAGAUAGCUGGUUCUCCCCGAAAGCUAUUUAGGUAGCGCCUCGUGAAUUCAUCUCCGGGGGUAGAGCACUGUUUCGGCCAGGGGGCCAUCCCGGCUUACCAACCCGAUGCAAACUGCGAAUACCGGAGAAUGUUAUCACGGGAGACACACGGCGGGUGCUAACGUCCGUCGUGAAGAGGGAAACAACCCAGACCGCCAGCUAAGGUCCCAAAGUCAUGGUUAAGUGGGAAACGAUGUGGGAAGGCCCAGACAGCCAGGAUGUUGGCUUAGAAGCAGCCAUCAUUUAAAGAAAGCGUAAUAGCUCACUGGUCGAGUCGGCCUGCGCGGAAGAUGUAACGGGGCUAAACCAUGCACCGAAGCUGCGGCAGCGA
rnacentral:rRNA from 1 species